UGGCCAGACAGCAUCCUCUUUCAAUCUCUCCGUCGAAAUUUCACGCCGCCGGGCCAUUUUAAGUGAGUUUUGCCUGUUUUUCUUGGGAUCGCCUGCUAGGUAGGCAGCCCAUGGUACGCUGCCCGCCAGAUUCAAAAGAUCACCCCUUAAAAAUCAAGUUUCUCUGGACAGGGGUGGUUUCUGGCGGAACCAAAAGUAGUUUUGUGGUCCCCUGGUUCCCCUCUGUCGAUUCGACUCCUUUACCGUUGAAAUCUGGACCCAUCAAUUUUUGCUAAAAAUACAAAGGCUAUAUAGCCUUUGUAAAUUUGGCCAAAAAUGAAAAAAAUAAAAAUCGCUGGAAAGGAUUGGAAUUGGUCUAGGAGGGUCGCCUUUGACCUCCUCCGUCAAAAUUGCGUGCUUCCUGCCUCUUUUGCAUCCUGUUUCUUCGCCUAUAAAAUUGCGUCUUUGGUUUGUUGCAGGAAGAUCGGUCUAGAGGUGCACCUGUCCUAGACAUCAGCACAGCAGCCUAUGUGUCACCUGCUGUAUGCUGAGUUGGUGUUGCAGCACACUGCAGGAGGAAUCGCUCCUUUUCCUCAUGAUUGCAGGAAUGAAUCCGGUAUUUAGAUUCGCCCAAAGUCACCAGCAGAAACAAGCCAGCUAAUUGAGCAAGAUGUACUCUUAUAAUGUAAAUGAUUUGAAACAAUAAAGAAUUCAAUUACUAUCCAA